ensembl:lncRNA
CAUCUUGUGUCUUUGGUUUCCUUUUCCCAACGGACAGACCGAUCAAUUGAGACAGGAAGAUGGUCAAAGUGGGUACAGGACAAGAGGUCAUCCCGAACGCAAGCGCACACACACACACGCACGCACACACACACGCACAACCCUGUUGCUAAGAGGGGAAGAGCCAUGGACACACAUCCUUUGACCUGUGACCUGUUCCUGGUCACUGGGCGUCAACAGGAAACUGUGUCCUUGACGUAGUAUGUCAUCAACCCAGCCCGACAGACUGGACGAGCAGAUAGCACACUCACUGGGAACAGCGGAACUGUAUCACAACACAACUACCUCAGUGAGACUGGGAACGGACAUGAGUGAAGGUACAUUCGGCAGAGCGUUGGUCCCAGAUGAUUUCCCUUUUUUAUGAUUUGUUUUUUUUGUCAGCUGCAGAUACAUCAACACCCAACGACCAUAACUCACACUAGGAUGAUCUGAGGUGUGUGUCAGAGACUACAGCUGCUGGUAAUAUCGCAGCAAGUUUGAAGAUCCAAACACAUCUUCACCCAAGCCACGAGUCUCUUCAGUGAAUUUCAAAAGGUGCCAAAUCUGUUGCAGUCAUCCAUCUAUUUUACAUUCCAGAGAAUUCAACUUUCCAACUCAUCUUCAAGCCCUUGACUAGCAGAAACAGACUCUCUAUAUGCACACAUCCACCAGGGGGUGCAAAAUGAGCUGUUCCAGUAUCAUCCAACGACCAGAAAGGAAUGAGCGAAGAUGUGUGAGCCGGAGGACACUAAGAUGUAUCAGAGCCCAACUUGGAGCGUCAGGGGAAAAUGGUCUGAAUACUUAUGUACAUUCGUUUUUUUUAAAUUACUAUUAUUUUUUUCCCAUUGAAUUGGCACAAAUUUCCAAAACUUGUUUUUGCCUUAUUACGCCGUAUUGUUUAGAAUGAUGGCAUUUUGUCUUUAAACUUUAUAAUCAAGUCCGUAGCAGAAAAUGUUUUGAAGGGAAGCUGUGCGAAUACUUUCCGAAGGCACUGUAAUCCCUCAUUCAUCUGCCCCCACGGCUGCUCCCACCGACCUUCAGUAUAUCUCAGAUGACAGUGACAUAACACGGCCCACCAAAAAUAAAAUGGGCGGACAUUCAACAAGCAAGCUAUCAUUUCAUGACUCAGUUCUAACCAUGCUAGCUGAAUCCCUUAAUUUUAAU